rnacentral:piRNA from 1 species
UGACAAGUACUAAAUAGUGACGUUGUGA